UCUGCUGGGAGAUGGGGAUUUGUUGUCCCUGACACACAGGGGCUAUAUGUGGCGAAACCCCUCCUUCCAGUUGGUCUCUUCCCUCUCAUUUGAGGGACCAAGAAAAAUAAGCACGUUGAAGACCAUUUCAGCUAGUUAGCUUUCCUGUCCAUGGAACCUACAUUAGUUGUAAUGACCCGUGACGCUGCCUGGGUGUGUAUAUGAUUUAUCCGUAGGUAUAACAUUUAGCAUAAAUGUUUGCAUCUUGAGCAUAAUGUGCUUAAGUACCUGAGCCGGAAGGACGCUUUAUAAUCAGCAGACCCCAAAUCUGGGUAUUUGGGUAGACCAGAUGUCUGGGAAACCCGCACAGUGUUCUUGGGUCACUUGGUGCAAAGUAGGUCCAUUUAUAACCCCAUUUGUAGAAUUGACGAAACGGGCAUUGUUUUUGCCUCAGCACACUUUGUUUCCACGUGGAGUUGCCUGCGCUAGAAAGCUGCUACUGGUGGAAAGUUGCUCUUACAGAACUGAUGCUGGCACGAUAAGCACCACAUUAUCCUGCUCUUUUUUGAGAAACGGUUCAUACGUGGAUGGAUGGAACUAGUUUCCUAGCACGUUGAGGUUGUCCUUUAGCUCUGCAGUUUGUCAAAGCUGUUGAAUCGCCCUCCGUCCCUGUGCUAAGGAAGAGGAAAUCCGGAAGACUGUGCUGUAUGCUGUCUCACAUUCUUCCCUAACACUCAAAUAUUCAUUCUCUGUUCCUGGGAGUCAAAAACAUUUAUUGAUAACCAUAAUAUUCUUCACCUGACUUCAUGCAAUGGCAUUUACACUGAUUGAUGGCUUUACUGGGAAGAAUUGUCAAAAUAGAUUUGUCUGAACUGGGCUGAAGAUGAGCAUUUUCUAGGCCGAUAGUAUGAACUAUUGAUUCUGAUUGGUAUCAGAAAUCUGCUUCUCCAGGUAUGUGUAUUAUCUCUGAAUUCAGGCUUGUAUUUAAAUAAUAGUGGAAAAAUUCCCAGCGAUUCCACUCACCCCUCUCCAUUUUGGUGGAAAGAGUAAAUGACAGUUUCAGCGACAGCAGCGACCAGCCAAUGUUUAAUUUAACUCGUACCAAUUCACUUAAAAUUUUCUUUGUAUUAUAAUUUACUUGUAUUCAUUAAAGUAUACAUGCUUUAUUAAAAUAAUGGAAUAUCAGUGUGCAGACUAAGAGGUUUCCUUCUCUGUUUGACAUUUUCUAUCUUUCCCAUGAUAGUUCUUGUUAAAUUAAAAAAAAAAAAAAAGGGAAGAUAGAAUUUCACUAUAAUCUCUCUCCCAAAGCAUCUCUCUUCCCUCCAAAGCAUGAGAGAGAAGGGGUGAGGGGGGAGAGACAGAGAGAGUGUCCACGGAUGCUUUUGUUGAGUGCAUUUGGUGUGUUAACAAUAAUUUCCGAAGACACCAAAUCAUCAGACAACGUGACCAGAGCGGCCUGUCUCCACGGAGCCUGCUGUCAGCGUUUCUGCCUUCACUGGUAACAGUUCCAUCAGGAGCUGGAGCCAGUGUUGAAGUGGAUGUAGUCUAGCAUCUGGAACAGAAAUUCUCAAGUCCUUUGUGGUAGGGGAGGAGGAAAGAGCAAGCUUAGCAGCUGACAUUACGCAGAGCCCCUUAAAACUAAACACCUGAAAGCCAAUCUCCAGAGGGCGAUGUCUUGCGCGCUCCCAAGGAGAAGUGUCCUCCGCGUUCUAAGUAACCGCCGUUCUCGCCCCCCAAGCCUGCUGCAGCCCCGUUUGCCCAUCCCCAUCCCAGUGACCGAGCUGAGGCUUCUCCGGGCACUUGGGACCCGCAGGCGGUCACCACACGCCUCUCGAAUUUUCGUCUUCCGAGCAUCCUCGUCUGGCCAUCUCGAAUCGCACGUUGCCUCGAGUAGCCAUCAGUCGGGGUGGUGGUGAAAGUUAGAAAAUGUCCACGGGCAGCCCAGACUGAGCUGCCUGUGUUUUGGAGAUUGGCCUGUUGUGUACUUCGGAAUUACACAAGGAAAAAUGUGCUUUGACAGAAAAUAAUUAGCACUCACCAAAGGCCAGGCAGUAGGUUACAGUAUUUUACUUUCAUCAAAGCUACCAGGGGAUCGUUUAGAUUAGAUAAUAGAAUUUUUUUUUCCCCCGCUGAAAGUUAAAUACAGAUGACUCUAAUUACCUUAUAUUGCACGUUAGAGCACGAGCUGGGAACCGAAGAACUUCUAGAAAUUUAGGUCAGCUGAGACUCCACAGCUGGCAAUCGCUUCAGUGUAAGUCUGUUGCAAUAAACCGUCUCCUGAGCAGGUUCAUUGGCGAUCAUGACAUCAGGGAGACUAUUUUAAGUGAAACUGGUAAACUCAGUUGUAAAAUAUUUGUGUCUCUCUCAAGCCAGGAGCUGAGCCAUUGUUUGGGCCUCGACUGAAAUCUCUCAAACCAAAAGCAUAUGUUCCCUAUCAUUUUGCUUUUGGAGAAAAGUGUCCAUUCUGCAUGACUCGGGGUAACCGAGUUUGUCACAGUGUCACACAACCCUGCGAUCCUAGAGGCACAUCUGAGUGCUGUGGGCUUCCUUCCCCAAGCUCGGUAAUCCCAUAAACAACCCUCUCCAAAUAGGCUUAUUAGGCUGUCUGUUCACUUCCCCGGAGUUGAAUGAUCCAAAGUACAUCCAGGAGAAGCUGUGUGAAUGCAGGGUAAGUGUUAACAGAAGUGGUACAGAAUUUCUGAAGAUUUGGCUUUAUUUAUACAGUCCACUCCGCCUGAUGGACAGCUUGUUACAGCUUUUAAAGAACUGAGCAAGCCCUCUCAUCUGACCCCUUCCUGACCCCCGCAACCCAAAGGUCAGUCUGCAGCUAAUAAACUCUGAGGCUCUUAGGGUCUACUGUAGGAAAAGGCAGAGAAAGAGCAGCUGCAAGGACGGGGUAUCCCAGAAAAGGCUGCUUUCGGGUCACUCUCUGAUAAUGAAAAUGAUUACCAAAUUAUAUGGAAGUUUAACCGCAAUAGUGAGUGAGAGGAGGGUGGAGCCCAGCGUAUUAGGUUUGAUAAAUGAACUGUGAAGAGGCCCAUCUGGCUCUCAACAUCUUUUCUCCCCCUCUUUCCCUACCAAGGGGAAACAUUUUAAAAUAACAGCAGUACAUAUAGACUCAAUGACCCAUGCAAGGAGCUGGAAUGGAUUAAGAUUUAAUGGUGACAGUGGAAGAAAUUAUCAUUUGAAAAGUGCACCAAAGAAAAGGUACAGUUCAAUGUCCAUGCCCGAAUUGUUUUUCUAAAUAAAAUAUAAUAAGAAUCAGCGCCUUUGUUUAUUUUACACAAAUCCCCAGCAUCUUUACUAGAUUGCCAGAAAUUCUGAAGGCGCUGUGCAUUACGGAAUAAUUGUUCCUGGUGGGGCUCAGAGCAGCUUCCCCUUGCCUUGACCAUGUCAGAGUGAGAAGCAAGCACUUUACGUCUGCCUGCUUACUCGUUUGCAGCUACGUAGGAAAAUCAAGUGUGAGGGAAAAUGUGAAAAAUUUGGCAACCAUUUCAGCAUCUCAUCAUUGAUCGUUGUGCAUUUUUUUUUUCUGAUACUGAUUAUACACUUUUUUAAGUUCCUGGGAAAGAAGAAUUUAAGGCUAAGUUUAUUGGUGCAAAAAAUUUGAAAUCCAUGCGUAGUUUUUCAUAUUCUGCAUUUCCCACAGACUUUUAGAAGGAGCACCUAAUUAUGGUUUUCACUUGAUUUGUUCAUUUAUUUAAUUUUGGCACCAAAAGAGAAUUCACUUUUAAUUUCAUUUUCUACAAACUUUCUGAAGUUCCCUCAAAUGAAUAACUCUUAAUACUGUUUUAUUCCUCCUGUGAAUGACUUGGCAGUUUUUCUGUAAAAGAAAGCAAGCACAUAGUGUUAAUUAACUAGAUUAAGGUUUAUUCCUUUCUUUAUUCUUUACUCAAGGAAACAUCACAGCAAUGCUAAUUAGUGGCAACAGCGCGGAUGGGUCACUGAAAGCUCUAUGUCUGCUCGCUGGUAAUUGAUCAGGAUAAUCUAUUUAAAGCUCUCACCCAGGUCUGUGUGAACAGGGAUGGGUACUGGUUUCAGACCGUUGAUACCAGAGACCACAAAGCGGUGUCAUUGCUGCAGAGACGAUGGGCGCAUGCUAUGAUUCUUUGUGAAAUGAAAGUGAUUUUACUCAUACGGUGUACAAAAUGCUGCAUGAGGUGCCAUGCACAUUCUAGAUUGUGCUAAGGGAGCCAGUUUAAGAGUUCAUCUGGGGAUGAGAAUGUAGAAAAGUUCCUAGAAAGACGCUGUGGAAGGCAGUGAGCAGGCUAGUAGUGCUGUAACCCAAUCAGGAACGUGUUGAACUGUGGAGGUCUUGGAAGACUGUACUGUUGUUACCUUGAAAGCCCCUUCUGUUGAGCUUCAUUGUCUGCAUAAUGUAAGCCUCACCAAGACAAUGCUUAUAUUAAAAAUAGAAAUUAAAAGCUUCUAAAUGUUAUCUGGAGUCAGCAUGUUUCCCACUUGUGGUUUUGACUUGUCUGUGGGGCUUUGGACUAAGUGUGCUUAGAAAGACAGUUAUGGAGAUGAGGGUGCUUUGAGCAUUACCUGUGCGUUUCACUUUAAGGCAGCACCUCUAAAUCUUCACUACGUAAGAGGCAAAUGCAGAAAGCUAAGGCAAAAGCAAGGUUUUUAGUUUUUUGUUGUUGUUGUUGUUGUUAAUUAAAAAAAUUGAGAUACAAUUCACAGAACAGAAAACUUCAUAAGACAUAAAAUUAAUCAUUUUAAAAGUCGACAAAGGUAUUUUUUUUUUAGUAUAUGCCCAAUUGUGCAGCCAUCACCACUUACCUGAUUUUUCUUACCCCAAAAUAAAACUUUGUAACUGUUCACAGCCCAUCUCAAUUCUCCUUCCUCCCAAGAAUGGCUAAUCCUUAUCUACUUUCCAUUUCUAUAGAUUUGCCUAUUCUGAUCAUUUCUUAUAAAUAAUUUCAUAAAAUGCAAAGUAUUUUAUAUCUGACUUCUUUCAUUUAGCAUAACGAUUUCAGGGGUCAUCCUUGUCAUAGCAUGCAUUUCAUUUGUUUGUACUGCCGAAUAAUAUUCCGUUAUAUGGAUGUGCCACAUUUUAUUUAUCCAGUCACCCAUUGAUGGACAUUAAGUUGUUCUACCUGUGGCUAUUUUGAACAAUGCUGCUGUGAACAUGUUUUUGAGUGACGUUUUUAGUUCUGUAGGGUGCAUUGCUGCUGGGAUUCAAUCACUGGACAUGGGGUAGCUCAAUGUUUAAUUUUUUGAGGAAUUUCCAGACUUUUUUUUUUUUAAGAUUUAUUUAUCUGAGAGGCAGAGGUACAGACAGAGAGAGGGAGAGACAGAGAGAGGUCUUCUAUCCACUGGCUCACUCCCCAGAUGGCUGCAACAGCUGGAGCUGCACCAAUCAGAAGCCAGGAGCCAGGAGCUUCUUCUGGGUCUCCCACAUGGGUGCAGGGACCCAAGACAAUUGGACCAUCUUCCAUUGCUUUCCCAGGCUACAAGCAAAGAGCUGGAUCAGAAUAGGAGCAGCCAGGACAUGAACUGGUACCCAUGUGGGAUGCCAGUGCUGUAGGCGGAGGCUUGGCCCACUGUGCCACAGUGCCACCCCCCAGACUGUUUUCCACAUGUGAUGCACCACUUGGCAAUCCCAGCAGUGUAACACAGAGGUUCCAAUUUUUGCACGUCCUUACCAAAACCUGUUGGUUUGGGUUUUCUAGAUUAGAGGUCUCAUUGGCAUGUCCUUAUGGUGUUGACAUGCCUUUCCCUAGUGACUAAUGAUGCCGAAAUCUUUUCAUGUAAGGUUUUCCUGAAAACCAAUCUUCUUCUUCUUUUUUUUAAAAAUAGAAUAUUAUUUAAAUGUGGCAGACUUAAGAACUCACCUCUCGUUAGCAGUAAAGAACUCACAAGCCUGCCAGGGGUAUUGGGCUUGUUGAAGGGGUGAAUUCCAAGGGAGGCUGUCAUUUACUGGCAGCUGUGUCCACUUCCCCCUGACCAGGAGGAGGCCUGGCCCUUGAUUUACUUCCAUAGGGCUCAACUUACUCGUUUCUGGAGAUUUCCUACUGCCGUUCUGUUAAGUUUCUCUCAUUACAGUGUCUGACCGCUGAAAUGAGAAUGUUGUCCUUUGGAGUGGCUCCUCCACUUUUACCCUCAAACAGGACUCCCAGAGCAGACAGCUUCAGUUGGGUCCAAGGAGCCUUAAAAUGGUGCUAAGAACGAUUUUUAAAAAGAUCCAUGACAGUUUCUUAGCAAAGCUUUUAGAACUUCUUAUGUCCAGUUAAAAGUGACUUCCUCAACACCUAGAGAGCUUUACAUACACGUCUUCCUCAUACUGGGCCUUUGGCAGCUCAAAAAACUGCCAAGUUAGUAUUUUUCUCUGGACAAAUACAAUGGUCUCAGCAUUGAGCAUUCCCCUAGUCACAGCCCUGCCCCUCACUGCUGGCCCCCAGAAUAGACCCACUGCAGACCCCCUGAUAGGCCCCAACCCCUGAUGGUUAGAACCUAGAGCUUCAAGGGAGUCGGACUGCAUUUUCCGAGCUAAUGGGCCUCAGCACUUUGAUCUGGAUGGGAGUCAAAGUAUGUGUAAGGCACUUGUGGUUCACUUCAGGUGCUAAGAGUUGAUGUGGAGGUUUCCUCCUUGGCUAUCUGGUCUCUCCUUUUGCCUCUGGCAAGCUUAGAUUAUACUCAAAACUGACAAGUUGUCCAGCUUAGCAAUGAACUAUUAUUUAUUGAGGGCUGGUCAGGCGCAAGUACCUGUAGAAAGUAUCAAAAUGAGUAUCAAAAUGAGUUUGACACGGUGUCAACUCUGAAAUACUUAUUUAAUGCAGGGGCCGGGGCAGUUAAUAGGAACACAGCGGCUACCACGUGCGUUUCCUUCCUUACCAAUGCGGCCUGCACUGAGGGGGCUUGUAUUUGGGCCGAAGCUUAAGAAAAAAAGAGCAACUUGACUUUGAUUCUACGCUGAUUCUGUGUUCAUAUUGUUGUCUCUGCUACCAUAGUGUAGGCUUCACGAAGGAAGAGCCUUGGUCUGCUCAGCGGCUCUGAAAUGUGCACCCCGAGGUCUCUGUAACAUUAAGUGGUCUCCCCCGUUAGAACGAUGCCCUGUGCGGGCAAGGUCCUUGCUGCUUGGUUCUCUUUGUAUCACCAGCAUCUGGAAGGGUGCCUGGCGUGAGUCACCUGAAUGAAGGACAUGACCUUCCUGUCACCCCAUUUCCUGUGCUCGGAAGGGCUCCUGUUCCUCCUUCAUCCUGAAGAGGAGUGACCAUUUGACAUACUGUCCUGGUGCUUUUCUCCCCUCCCCCCCUACCGUUGCUGGGUGUGAAAACCUUGAAAAUGAAAGUAAGGCGAGAUCUUUGAUGUGAGUUCUGUGGUGUUUCAGCCCCAAGACAGCACCCCAGGCCCUCGUUCCAGCACAAACACGGGAGAACACUGUCUGCCCAGGCACUUGACGGAGAUACACCGUGAGACUGGGCUGAGACUAGGACACAAGGACAUGGUCUUGUCCUUGAACCCGCCUUCCUGGCUCCUUGUCCUUCCUGGAAGUGCAGUAGAACUGGGGGAAGGAGAGGAACCAGUGAGGAAGGGAAGGUAAAGGCCCCUCUGGGCUCAUGCCAAUGAAUAAACGGGUAGGUUCCAGUUCAGCAGGGACGAAGUGAGACCCACACACGUCAAGUCUCUGUUCUGCCUGCUCUGCAUGGCUGCUUUAUUCUUGACACCUGGUGAUGUCCUGAUGUGGCUUUAAUAAUAGUGACACAGGGAUGAGCUUUGAUCCUGGUGACUCCACACUUGGGCUAGAACUUGUUUUCCACCCUAGGGAGUUGUGGUCACCAAAAAAAGAGUAGAGCCUUGAGGAUGGGGCUGUGGCGUGUUGAGGCUGAUGCACUUAUCUGCAGAGACAACCUGUGGCUGCGCCAUCUGACCGUGCCAGCUAUUGCCAUCCGUGCUCCAGAGAGUGGCUGCUUGUGCUGGCGGGGGUGAGUUAGUUGGGAACUAGACGUUGGGACACCUGCCGUUCAGUCCUUGUGCAUCGCAGCUUGCGGAAUUCUGUAUUAUAGUGUUGGGGGUGAGCAUGAGGAGUCAAGGAAGCAGGGAAGCCCUGGCCUGCUAAUUGCUUUCAAUAUCUUUCUCUGUCCAUGCAUCUGUCCCUUCUCCUUUAGUGAUUGCCGUCUCUGCUCCCUGCUGCCCUGGGCAGAAGAAUGUCCUCUGUGUCUCUGCACCAGAUUACUCCAUAAAAUCCGCUUACUCCAUAAAACCUCCUCAUAAAUGUGUAGGCAUUGAAAUGUUGUAUAAAUUUAGAGCAAGGAUUAAAUGAAUCUCGAGAUAGGGUUACCUUUUUUUCCAAGAUGCAGCAACUUAUCUUAAGGGGGCAAGAGUUGUUAAUGUUAUUACCGUUGUUACUGUCAUUAUUUGAAUGGUUUUAUGGGGGACAAAUGCCAAUUGACUUCUGCGUAUCUUGUUUAGAAAAUCAACACAUGGGCUCAGUCCGAGCUGUGCCUCUGGCAGAUCUCUCACUGUGCUCAGUUGUUUGCCGUUUCUUAUGGACAGUGCUGCUUGAACUUUCUGAGGAAACAUUGGUUCAUUCAUUUAUUCUACAAAUAUUUAUUAAGUGCAUAGUAUUUUCCAAGCAGUGUUCCAAGUUCUGGAUACACACAGCCCUGAACCAAAGUGAUGAAAAUUCUUCUCUCAUUGAGCUUAUAUUCUAGUUGAAUGACAGACGAGAACUGUUUUCCUAAGUGGAACUCUGGAAAUUUCAUAUAUAUAUAUAUACACACACACACACAUAUAUAUAUACACAUAAUAUACACACACAUAUAUAUACACAUAAUAUAUACACACACACACAUAUAUAUUAGGGACAAAUAUCUGGCUCAGUGGUUAAAACCCUGUAUCCCACAUCAGAGUACCGGGUUCCAGUCCCAGCUCCUCUCCCAGUAACCACUUCUUGCUAAUUCAAACCCUGGGAGGAUAUGGCUCAAGUACUUGGAUUCUUGCCAUCCACAUGGGAGACCCAGUUUGAGAUUCAGGCUCCUGGCUUCAGCCUGGCACAGCCCUGGCUGUUGCCCAGAGUGAAACAGUGGAUAAAAGACCCCCCCCCCACUUCUGCCUUUCAAGUAAAGAAAUUUUUUAAAAGAGAGGGGUUAAGCCUCUGCCUGCAGUACUAUUAUCCCAUAUGGGAGGUAUUUCAAGUCCCAGCUGCUCUAUUUCCAAUUCAGCUCCCUGCUAGUGUGCUAGGAAACCAGCAGAGGAUGGCCCAAGUGCUUGGGCCCUUGUACCCAUGGGAGAGUCCAGAAGAAGCUCCUGGCUUCAGAUCAACCCAGUGCUGGCCGUUGCAACCAUCUGGAGAAUGAACCAGUGGAUGGUGUGUCUAACUCUUCCUCUCAAAUAAAUGAAUAAAUCUUUUUUAAAGUAACAUAUUAUAAAAAGAGAAUUAACUUUCAAAAAAAGAGAAGAAAUGUAUAUAGUUGCCAUGUCCUGCAUAUUUGACAGCACUCUACAGAACCAAAAUAAAGUCAUUCAGUGGAAAUAAAGACACAGCCUUUCCUGCUCUUAGGAAAUGCUCACUUGCUGUAACACUUGCACGCCGUUGUAGUGAGUCACGUUUGUGAGGUAUGGGCAAAACACCAGUGUCCGCGAAAUGCCACGCUAAGGAAUGUGCAACGUUGAUUCUCCUCUGAUUAACUAUCCCCUGCUUCCCAGUGCCUUUUCCCAGAAAUGUGUCACUUGAAAGAUCUUCCCUUUAAGGAAGGCUUAAAUUAAGGCCUCGCUAUAUUGAGAAAUCUUUCAUAAGAAUGAACUGAAGCAGCUGUCCGUUUCUCAUAGGUGUUGGGGGAUUACGGAUCAUAAUGUACUCAAGCGCUUCAUAAAUGGUGGUUAUUGUUGCCGCGAGUGGCCUGGCAGUCAUGGGUUGCUUCAGCAAAUAUUUACCGAGUGCCUUCCUGGUAUUAGGCACUGUCCUAGGCCCUGAGGCCAUGGAGCUGAGUAACGUGUGUAGGGGGAGUAUAUUACACAGUGCAGAAUAAGUGCUGCGGAAGAGGUUGAGUCAUGAUUCCGUGGAAACCCAUGUGCCAGGGAAGCAAGAGGCUCAGUGUCCUUGUGUGGCUCGUUAUAUGCCCACAGACUGUGAGGAAUGUUGGCUACGAGGGGGCAGGUGGCUCUUUGUCUCCAAGUCUGAGUGAGAAGUAGGGGAGAAAUCUGUGCAUGAUUGUGGGUCAUUGGAUGAAGUUUAUGCUACCUUUCUCCAGAGGGACCCAGUUCUCAGUGUUAAAAGCAGGGGGGGCAAUCAUUUACUUCCGGAGCAAGUUUUGUGAAUAUGGCGUGGUGACUGGGAGCUUGGAUUCUGAGUCAGAUUGCCUAGAGUUGAAUCUUGGAUCCACUUCUGUAACUCCAGGGAAGUAACAAUUACAGACUUUAACUAGACAAGUCAUGCAACCCUUCUGAGCCUCACUUUUCUGGUUUAUAGUUUGCUUAAGGGAUGAUGAUAAUGGAACCUAUUUCCCAGAGCUAAGUGAUUCCCUGUAAAAUACCUAGAGCCCAUUUCCGUAAUGCACUCAGUAUUCAAUAGAAAGGACCUGUCCUCAUCAUCCUCAGAUCAAAACAAUGUCAAGAAUCAACUCAGUUACCCUCUCCAAAACUUGCCUUUCCUUUAAAAAAAAUCUAUUGAUUUGAAAGGCAGUGUAACAGAGAGGAAGAGAGAGAGAAAGAGACUAAGAGACUUCCAUUUACUGGGUUACUCUCCAAAUGGCCACAACAGCCAAGAAGCCAGGAACUGCCUCUUGGUCUCCCACAUGGGUGGCAGGGGCCCAAGUACCUUGGCCAUCUUUUGCUGCCCUCCCAGGUGCAUUAGCAGGAAGCUGUAUGAGAAGCAGAGUGGCCAGGACUCAAACUGGCGCUCCGACGUGGGAUGCCAGUGCUAUAAACUGCAGCUUAACCCACCAUUCUGCAACACUCGUCCCUGGUGUCUCCUUUGCAACAGUACCCUUUGUGAAAUCCUAGCCUAUUGCUGAAUUGGUGUAGGAAGGAGCUGUAGGCAGGACUGUAUGUCAGGCCCUCCACUGAGCACUGUCACACAUUGGCAGAGAGCUAGGCUGUGGUGCGAGUCCUAUCAUCAGCUGGCUGCAGCACUCGGAGCAAGUCCCAGACACUCUGGACCUGAGCCACUUUGUCUGGAACAAAAGUGGCACAAGUCCGAUGACCACCAAGGUAGGAGGCACGUUCCAGCCCUGACCUGGAUGUGGCCCCUUCGCUUGGAUUCCUGGGAGCAGCCGAAAGUAAGUGUCAGUUCCUGUGAAGCCUGCAGUUGUAUUAAUUAUUAUUAUUAUUUUUUUUUGACAGGCAGAGUGGACAGUGAGAGAGAGAGAGACAGAGAGAAAGGUCUUCCUUUUUGCCGUUGGUUCACCCUCCAAUGCUGCUGCGGCUGGCGCGCUGCGGCCGGCGCACCGCGCUGAUCCGAUGGCAGGAGCCAGGUGCUUCUCCUGGUCUCCCAUGGGGUGCAGGGCCCAAGCACUUGGGCCAUCCUCCACUGCACUCCCUGGCCACAGCAGAGAGCUGGCCUGGAAGAGGGGCAACCAGGACAGAAUCCGGCGCCCCGACCAGGACUAGAACCCGGUGUGGCAGCGCCGCAAGGCGGAGGAUUAGCCUAGUGAGCCAUGGCGCCGGCCAUGUAUUAAUUCUAAUAAUAGUAGCAGCCCGCAUUGAUUGGGAACUCACUAUGUGCAGGCAGAGUUUUCAAUGCUUUCUAUGGCGAGGUGAGGAAACAUAAGGAGUGAGGGAGCUUGCCCAAAGCAACAGCUAGUACGGAGUGGGGAUGGAAUGUAAGCCAACAUGACCCAGCCCGGCCCAGCCCACUCGGAAUGUAGGGCUGCUGCGAGGGCAGUAACUUCGCUUUAGUCUUUGGCAGCCACUCGAAUGCUUCCCUGAGUAUUUUGACUCAAGUCUCAACAUGUGGGGCUCAGAGACCUUCUGGGAUCCUUCCCGGCCUGCGUCUGUAAGUCUGUCUUCCUCUGGUACCAAAAUGUGUUUCUCACUUUUUCGUUGUGGGUGCAUCUCUCUCUCUCUAAGGAAGUCGUUUCCAGCUCAUGCUUUAUAAAUCUUCCUGCCGCCAAUCUUUUAAGGGAGACCGUUAUUACCUUUAUAGCUAUGUCAUUUCUUUUAUAUUGCUUACAAUCUUUUAAGAAGGUGAGAGAGUCAGGGCGAAGAUGAGAACAUCAAAGUUUAGCCUCCAAGAAAUCUGUAAAUCCUCAACGUCAAAUAAUUUUGGGGCCAUGUUCACCAAGGCUGAUUUGAGCAGGUGCCCUUAAGGUGCAAGGGUAGCAAUUUAUCUACUCCGUAAUGGGUUAAUCACCAGCUGUACACUAUGUUUAUAUCGAGGAAACAAUUUCCUGCACAUCAAGUGUAGUCAUUUUAUUCUAUCUCAGGGGUGUCCCCAGUGUAUUUUACAAAUUUACUUUGUAAUGUAUAUUCCAGGUUUAUAGAUAAAAGUUUAACUCUGCUUUUCAGUUGAGGCUGUGAUGGGGGCAGGGGAGCUGGGGCUUGAGGGAAAGGAGAGGAACAGCUCUGAUGGCCUGUAGGGGACACUGUUGCCUCAUUUAUCAGAAUUUCCCAGUAUCUUGUCCUGGGACAAAAAGAAAGAGAAACAGAACACCAAGACAAGUCAGAAAGCAGAAAUAGGUCAGUCACCUUAAAGUUGGUCCUCAGAAUCACUGGAAUAGUUCCAGUGGGUUUAGAAUAUUUGGUGUUUCUCAGGCAUUGGCCGGGCUGUUUGGUGUCCAUGCAGGAAGUAGUUCAGUGUCUCUGAGAUGGGGUGAUGGUUAAGACUCCCAAUUAGCUGUCUCUCCACAUUCUCCACCAGCCAGAGUGCUCAGCACAUUACUUUUUCAUUUGAUAAACCUUUGGCUUUCACUGACCAUCUUCAUUGCCUAUUAAGAUAUGCUCAUGUUAAGUUGGAAAUCCUUCUGGUAUCUGGUAUUCUAAAUAAAUACUAGAAGCCUUGGAAGGGCAUUUUGGAAGUUCUCUUCCUCCUGUUUUUGUCCAUAUCAUUUUCAUCGCUGAAAAAGAUGCUGUUUACUGGGAAAAUGAAGUUGUUAUGGCUGCAGGAGAGGCGUCUGCAGGGCUUGAUGGGAACUCCAGGAAGCACACGGCCAGGUGCUGCAAUGGCUCCUGGUUGGGCAUGCCUCUCUCCAAACUGUUGACAGCUUCUGUGUCUGUCCAGGUGCCCCGUGGCCUUGGCAGCCAAACCUCCACCUCCCUGCCCAGCUCUGACCUCUUCCUCACCAGACCACGGGCCCUGGAAGGUGAUUGUAAUUAACCCUUGGGAAGCAUGGGUUUUGUUAAGGCAGUGUGCACAGUAAUGAUAUUGUUAGCUUGCUUCAUUUCCAGUUUCACCAUCAAUUAUGCCAUGUGUUUCAUCCAGUUGGUGCUACCCUCCCAGUGUUAAUUAUAACCUACAAGACUGUUACAGUUAAUUUUAUGGCAAGCAUAUUGUCUCUUCAAGGCUCCAGAGCAGCUCAUAAAUUAUCUUGAAGGUAAAAUGUAACUUGGGGAACUAGUUAUGAAAAUUCCAUCCAUCUCGCUUAGGAGCUGCAGCUGCUACUGUCAGCUGCCUCGCCGCUGCAUUGUGAAGGAAUUAUGGUGGGUCAAGUUGAAGAGGGUAGGCCCAGGCUGUCACUGCGGAGAAAGGCUGUCCUGGCCCUGUCAGACAAGUACCUUCUGCCAAUCCCUGGUGGUUUCAUUUUGCAGGCAGAAAGAGGAGGCAGCGCAGGUGGACAGUCCCCCAGCUGUCUGUAUUCAUUACUUUACAGAAACUUGGUGUAGGUAGGCAGGUCCAGAGACCUUGCCUCUUCUCUGUUGUCAUGAUGUUAGGCAUCAUCUACAAAGUGUGAGGUGGAUAACUCUAUAACUACCUCAGGGUUUGGUUUAGGAGACCAGACAGGUAGAGGGGUAGAAGCUUCUUGUAGCAAGAAACCACCCCCCCCCGCACCUCCACCUCGCCCCCUGCCAGCAGCCCCUUGCUGAUCUCCCACAUGGCGAGUUCUAUCUUGCAAAAGCCCUUGGCUUGAAUGAGCACUUUAUUUGUGGUUGUUAUUUUUCAUAUAAUCUGAUAAAGUGAGAUUUCACUGUGAACGAAUGUACUCUAAAAUUGCCUGCUAAAUAAAUUAGCAGGUUAUCUUAUUGGGAUAAUAAACACACUCCUUUUCUGUUUCCUCACACGAAGUAUAAGCCUUACAUUUCAGCCCUCGGGGCUUUAGCAUUAUUAUUUUUAAUGACUGAACACAAGUCUUUCAUUUAGCUUGUUUGUAUAGUUACUGUAAAUGAUCUUUCUGCUGUUGGUUCUUCAUUUGAAAUUCUGCAUGUUAUGCCAGCUUUAAAAGCUUUGAGGGGGCCUCUGAGAAUUGGGAGCUGUAGUAAGCUCAGCAUCGCCUAGCAGCAUCAGAAACAGGCUGUGGCAGGAAAGUCAGAGAGAGUGUGGAAAGAAAGUCCGCCUGCACGUGUCGAUCUGAGUGGUGUGGGCUUGCAUGUAGCGGGUGGGCGUGGGGGUGGUGCAGGCCGAGGAGUCUCUGCACGGUGGAGGACAAGAGCCGUGCCCGGAGCUGGUGGUUUGUUCCCCCUCAUGUUCCUGAACAUGUUUAUUGUGUUCCCACAUCCGCUGGCUUUUGUGUCCAGGGUGCCUGCGACUGUUGUACCUGGGCUGUGUAGUGGGAAAAAAAAAUGAGGUCUGGUUUUGAGGGGUUCCGGGGGGGCACAGGGAGUGUUGAAAUCUGCCCAGAAGGAACCCUUGGCUUUGGUCUUCUGUGCUUUUGUUUAUAGGAGCCCAGGAGUUGAGUAUUUGUGAGUUUUCCAAUGAAUGCCAGUGAGUUCAGACCUGAGUUGCAAAGCCACGUCUCCGGGGCCUGGCAGUAACCUCAGUAAUGAAUGGAACCGAAGAGAGGGGACUUUCAUACCCCGUGGGUGCAGCUGCUCUUCAGCCUUGCAGGGACCUUGUCACCAGGGCUUCCAUGUUUUCAAGAGAGGUGGGAAAUGUAGGCUGUGUAUGAAGGCUUAUGAAGGCUCCCAGCUCCAAGUGUUAGCUUACUAAUGCAAAUAUUUGUAAUUAUUAUUCAGGCUAAUCAAAACAUGUCUGGAGGCUGGACGGUGUGGAUAGGAUUCUGUUCUAAAAUGGAAGUCCUGGCUGCUUUGAAUUAAAAACCCUCUCUACUUUCUCCCACUUCUUGAGAAUAGAAGUACCAGCCCUGGCUGGGAGACUACAACAACACGAUCUGGGCACUGCCGCCAUGACCCAGCACCAUUGGUCUGCUCUAUGUAGGUUCUACUUACAAGGGUUGUUUAUAUGUAUUUUAUUUUAUUUUGCCUUGAACUUGGCAGGCUUCUGAGAGCGUAUCAGGGAACGUUUUCACGAGCAAAGUGUAUGUGGUGCUCAUCAUCACUAUAACAGGGGCGCCUGCCAAAGGGUUGUGGUUUUGAAUCCGAUAAAGGGUUUGAUUCCCCGAAUGGAAGGGCCAGGACUCUGUGGCUGGUGAAUCCCCAUCUCUGCUGUGACACCCGGAACGCCUCGGGAGGGGAACCCAGCUGCUCCUUCAAGGCACAAGUGAGGCUUCUACAAGGACCUCACGUGGUCUCACUGCUCCUGCCCAGCAGCCACGUGGGGGUGUGGCUUGAGAAGUUGUUAAAUACCUGUGGGUUUGAUCUGGAGAAGAGGAAAGUUUAAAAGCUAUUUCUUGCCUUUAAUAAGGAGAGCUGGGUAAGCCUAAACCUUGGCUACCACUGAAGUCAGCUGUUACACAUGCAUGGUUAAACUUCAUUGUAAAUAUUUCAUAAGGGUUAUUACAAUGUGACAUCACAGCCCCAACUGUACCAGAGGAACUAUUCCAUUAAAAUAAGCCAGCAUUUCCAAAGAAGCAUGGAUGUCUUCUAUGGCAAAGUUAACAUAAGGUCAGAAAACUCUUUGAAGAACUGUCUGCAUCAAUGUUUAUAAUUUCUGCAGUUAUGGAUUUGCAGUUUGUGUGAAAAGAAAAAAAAAAUCUCCCAGAGAGAUUUUAUUUUGGUUAAAUAAGACUGGCUUAUAAAAUAGUCUGUAUUCCAAAUCCACCCUAACCCAGCAUCUUGGCAGCCUUCUGGAUAAAUAAUGUAUUUUCCAAAAUGUGUGUAUUUUUAAAAAGAAGAGGAAAAUUAAGUGGCAAACUGUGUCUCCGGGUUGCCAUAAACUGACAGAAUUCUAGAAACAGAAAGCAGAGACUGAUACUUCAUUCAUUUUUUUCUUGAUGCAUGGAAGGUUACAGUGAGGAGCAAAAUUUACCCUAACUACUUUCAUUUUGUUCUUGGGUUUUUUUUUUUUUUUUUUGAGUAAAAGUUUAUUAAAGCAUGCAUUUUUUUGUGUGUGUCACACGAAAUAUGUAUGAGGUUGAGAGGCAUUUGGCAGGAAAAAAAAAGAUAUUCACAUUUUGUUAAAAAAAAAAAAAAACCUUAAUCCAUGCUCACAGAUGGUCCUGUUCAGGUGCUAUUUUAAUUAUGAGGUAAAAAGCAGCCCCACACAGUAGGAAGUCAUCUUAAUAAAUGGAGGGGAGCUUUUGUCUUCAACCGUCAAAAAGCCUUGUUACCAAGAAAUGUAAAUACCGGGUGGGGCGUCUUUGGGGAGAGUCUCCACGCCACCCAGAGACUUGGAGAAAGCAGGAGCCUGGCCACUUCUAAAGGUGAAAUGAGAACACUUGAAACGCUUCACAAACCCGGGGACCUGGACUUGCUUAGCCGUGGUCACUUUACUGCUGGCUUUUUCAGAGAGAAGGACCUGACUUGGAUGUGUGGACAUGUCCGUGGAAUCAGAGGGACUAUAAACAGAGCUCCCUGCAAGUGCGUUUACAAAAUGCUUUAAUGCGAGCAGAAGUAUUUCUUGACUCUUCUCAAGGCUCCUCGGGCCACCGUGCCCUUCAGGCGGUGGAGAACCGAUGGUGAUGCAUGUGACACAGUAACACGGAAGCAACACAGCCUUCCUAUAAAAUAUUGGUAAUAUAUGAUAAUGAUGUCUUACUGUCUGUGCCUUCGUGGGGAAUGAUGAGGACCUCAUGUUAGGACCCCAAUGUCCUGACAUAGUUAAUUAUGCAUGGAUCAUGGUUUGCAGCCAUUGCUGUCCUGAGGCAUGCAGCUUUGGUUGUGGGGGGCUUAGUAAGCAUUUUGCAGACUCAGGUGCACCGCACCUAGGUACUUUCCUACGCAGGAAACAGCUGGGCUUCCGUCACCGUGCUAUACAUCACAUAGGGUGACUCAUUUGUUAUUGCUAAGCUAAUGAUGCAAGUGUAAACCUUUAUGUCCCCUUCUAUAUUGUCAUAAUAUAUUUGCUGUAGAGAUGCUAGCUUGUUUCUCAUAAGUAAUUAAUCUUUCCCUACGCCAAAUAUAGUACAUGAAAAUGGGUUAACACAGGGGUCAAAAUACAUUUAAACCAGUCUGCAGAGGUUAGAUGAGAACCCUGGAUACAGGGGCAGGUUUUUUCUUUCAAACUGCCUCAUCGCGUCUCCAGGAUACGCACCCUGGCAAUGCCCACAUGACUGGGAACUUACUCUACAAAGGAGGCUGUUGGCAGUCCUUUAGGGCUGGGGGCAGGAUUCAGAGCUGAACCUGUGCUAAGCACAACAAGCAUGGUGACUGCCGUCCGCAUUCAGUCCCUUGAUGGAGUGGUGUGUUUUUGUGAAUGAUUGUGGUGGCGAGUUUCUGUUGAAGCUUCGUGUGUAGGUAGGCCCCUGUGCAACCUGCCAGGGCAUGCCACAGAGCCUCCGGAAGUGGAAUUCACGUGCCCAUAAGAAGAUACUGUGAUACACUGAAAGGACUUUGUAUUUUAGAAAUUAUGUAUUUUGCCCUUUUUUUUGUAGUGAGACAUUUGACAUUUAUUCUCAACAAUUUUGAAAUGAACACUGUAUUGUUUUUUUAAGAUUGAUUUUUUUUAUUUGAAAGUGAUUGGGGUGGGGGAGGGCAGGAGAGAUCUUUCAUCUACUAGUUCACUCCUCAAAUGCUCACAGCAGCCAGGGUUGGGCCAGGCUGAAGCCAGGAGCAUGGAACCCCAUCUGGGUCUCCCACAUGGAUGAUGGAGACCCAAAUACUUGGGCCAUCCUCCACUGCCUUCCCAUGAGCAUCUGCAGGAAGCUGGAUAAGAAGCUGCAUAGCCGGGAUUCAGCUGCAGCACCCUAACGUGGAAUGCAGGCCUUGCAAGCAGAGACUUAACCUGCUGCACCACAACACCCACCCCAUACAAUACAUACAAUAUGGUAAUUGACUGUGGUCUCCUGGCUGUGCCAAAGGUCUCACACACUUCUUCCUCCUGUGUUUUACAUUAGAUUACAAAAGCAUGAUCAGCAUAUUGAAUCUGUUGUUCCCAAAUCAUGUUGUUCAGAACAAGACUGCAAUCAAUCUUUAAAUUUUUUCACUUGAUUUAAAGGCUGAUGAAAUGUAAUAAUGUCAGUGGUUUGUGGAUAGGGAUAAAAAUCGUGAUGGUGCCUUAUAUCAUGAAAGUUUAGGAAAUACUGGCCUUACAAAGUGCAGGGGUCCAAAAGCAUGUGUCCAGAUCAUAAUUAUGUCCUUGAUUGCAAAGACGAUCAUGGUCAUUGUAUAAGAGUACGUAGCAGCAGCUAACUUCCAUGGUGUCUGAAGACCUAGCAAGGUUAGGGACCUCACCCAGGAAGGCACUGAUUAUAAGUACUCAGGAUUUGAACCUAAGCAGUCAGUUCUGGGGUCUUCUUGAUAAUCAUUUCAUUUUUCUGUGUCUUGGUGAGUGAAAAAAAUAUGACUUCUGUGUGUUCUCUAAAGAGGAAAAGCAUAAAAACACUGCACAUAACGUUGCACAUUGCAGCACUGUGCUGUCCACGGCUGGUGAAGGCUCUCUCCUACGCUGCUGACCUGGCACUGCUGACUGCUUCCUUAGUUAGCAUCCUGGAUGUGUGCUAGGACACAUGCCUUGCAACUCAGAAUUCUUCAUUUGGAUUAAUGAGGAGGGGGAGAGAGGGAGAGAGGGAGGGAAGGGACAGGGAGAGCAGAACCUUGUUUUUUCAAUUACUGCCAUAGCCCCUUCUGAAUAUGUACUACUAGGGGAUAAGUAACACAUUUCUUGCUGUACAAGGGUCCGUGGAGCAAAAAUUCUUUGGCAACUUCCCAUAUUUCCAUACUUAGAAAAGUAUCAUAAUUCUUUUCCACGUUCACUUCAAAUAUCUGCAAGCAGUGUCUAAUCUUGUGGGAAAGCUAAAGUGAAACUCUCUAGCAAAUGGCAUGGUUAUAUUCCCAGAAAGAAGAAACAGAGUUAACCUAUGAAAAUGAAUCUUGACUGUUAACAAAUGUGCUGAAAUGAAUGGGAGAACACAGCCCCCAAGACUGAGAUGUAGGCAGGAAUUGCAGUCUCCUGGGUCCCAGGUCCUAAUGCACACAUUUGAAGUUCUUCGGUGACUGUUGAUUUAAAGUCCCAGGAACAAAGUUCAGACAGGUAAGAAUUCUCAUACCGUCUCCUCUGAUAUUUUUCCGAGCCAGAGUGCCGGGUUUUCUUAAGGAGUGUUUAUGACUAGCUCCGUGGCACAGGGAACGCUGACUUGGGAGAGGCGUCAGCAUGUGGAGAAAUGGGUCAUUGGAGCACUUGUAAAACCCGCCCAGUGCAUGCUUCCAAGCCAGCCUCCCCACGGGCCCAGAGUCAUCACGAACAGUCACUUGAGAACUGUGAGAUGCUCAAAGAGGAAAAUUGCAGAACAAAAUGGGUUCAAAAGAAUUUAUACUUUUGUCACUUCAGGUUGAAGCCAGGGGCCAAAACUUGAAUCUCAUACCAUUGUGUUCUAUAACCGUUUAAUUUGCUAACCAGACUUAACUGAUCAGGACCUGCAGCCACUGCCUCCUCUUCCUCCUCCUCCCCCUCCUCCUCUUCUUCCUCCUCCCCCUCCCCCAGCAUAAUCAAAACAAGAAGCAGUGGGCUCUGCAGCGUCAGUGUUGUCUAUCUUUUAUUGUCCAGCCUCACCAUGUUCAUUCUGGCAGGCUGAGAUGAAACAGAAAGCUGAUAUUUGGAGCCACUGGAAUUGCAGGCCUUGUAAUUUAGAAAUAUCCAUUUUAUCCCGUGUAAUUUCUUCCCUAAGAUUCCUCAGUCUAAAUCUGAUACAGGUAGGAGCCAAGACAAACAGUAACCAUUUAUAGUCACCCAGACCAGUUUGAAUUUCACUCUAAUGUAAAGCAAAAAGAGUUUUUGGCUUCAUUUCAGGUGUGUAACAGGGGUAGAAAAUGCAUUUAAAAUUUUGCAGCAAAUGUUACCAUAUGUUUCCAUAACAACUGCAAACUUUUAUGUUAGAAAAGCAAUAAUAUAAACACGUAGGAAUCUUGGAACAGUAAACUAUUAAUUUACCAAAUAUAAAAAAAAAUCCAGCAUGAAGGGGCUUUUACAGCCACAGAAGCCAGGAGGGGCCCAGCAUCCUGUGAAUUUCUCCAUUAUGUGGCAGAAAAUGCCGCCGGUUAGUUUAAAUGAGCAAAUCUUUUAAAAUUAUAGGGACAGCGUCAAUUCUCCGCAGUGCAUUUUCCUGAAACAAUGUGUAGUGGUGCCAGCCAUGGCUGAUUUUUUUCACCACACCGAACUAGUAAAAUGCCCUUUAGUAGCUGCCCUGAUGCACAUCUGUAAAACAACUGUAGUUUGUGUGUGUGUGUGUGUGUGUGUGUGUUUCCCUCCUUCACCCAGAGCUUCAAACCAUGAAGAAGGCUCAGGGUCCCUGCAGAAAGUGUAGGGCCCAGGAGCUGGCUGUAAUGGUUGGCACGGAAUAUGUGUUCAUACACUGUUUACACAUGUUGAUGAGGUCCCCAGUUUCCCCCACGUACCCAUUUUGUAAUAUUAAAAAGGGGACAAGGGGACAACCGGAUCGACCUAACCACAUCUUGAGAAUGAGCAGUUCAUCAAUAGAAUUAUUGAAAUCAUCACCAAGGCAACAUCAGUCUUCUCUUCUUCUCUCUGUGGCCAAGAGAUGAGUCUACUUGUAAGGGAUGUAUUAGAAACAUGGUGAUUUGGGGCUGGGGCUUUCCUUUGAAAAGGUGCAUGUAUUUUGUUUUGUCCCUAAACCUAUCUCAGAGUGUGCCUAGGGUUUUUGAGACUUUUCCCUUUUUAUUUUUUUUUUAAGUGUUCAUUUGUUUAUUUGAAAGGCCGAGUGACAGACAGAGACAUUGAGAUCUUCCUUCCAUUGGUUCACCUCCCCAAAUGCCUGCAAAAUCUGGGGCUGGGCCAGGCCAAAGCCAAGAGCCUAGAACUCCAUCCCAGCCUGCACAUGGACUCAAGAAGUUGAGCCAUCAUCUUCUGCCUCCCAGGGUGUGCAAUAGCAAGAACCUUGAUAGGAAGCAGAGGCAGGAUGAGACCCCAGGCACAGCAAACCCAGCUAUGUUACUUUCUCAUUCAAAGGUAAGCAGAGGCACCUUGGCCAGUCCUGGGCCAUGGGUUAAUGAUGUAACUACCAUUGAACAUAUGAUCAGUGAAAAGUUAAGUUACAGAGAAGUGGCGGAACUAAAAAUCAGAUAUAGGACUCCAAGGGGUACGUUAGGAAGUGCUCUGAUAUGGAGACAAGGUAGAGAUAGGGGCAAAACCCUCAGAAGGUCUAGUAAAGAGAGCUGUGUUUCAGCUGGGUCAGGAUUUCACCGUGGCUUCUGCUUGGCCUUCAGUCUAGAACGCGCAGUCUAGGCCUUCUUCAGUCUAGAACGCGCAGGCUGCCGAGCCCGAAAUGAUUCAUCCACCAGGGUGCUGGUGAAGUAGGGCUCUCAGUGUUAUCAGCCAGAGGAGGAACUGAAGCUAAUGUCUAAGGAGCCUGUGUGAGUCGGAGAAAAUUUGGCCAAGCAGGAGUAAGAGUGAGAGGCAUGACUUAGGCUGGCAGAGGUCAGGUUGGUAACACAGAGAUGCUUUGGGAAGACCUCUUUCAUUCCCGAGUCCUUGGUGGGCCUCUUUUUUAGACCAGAAACCUAAAAUUUUACCUGAGUUGUCACCGUCUCUAAUUGGGCCGUUAAGAGCAUUUCUCAUAUUCCUGUCAAUUCUUUUUUUUUUUUAAUAUUUUAUUCAUUUGAGAGAAUUACAGAGAGAGGUAGAGACAUAGAGAGAAAUCUUCCAUCUGCUGGUUCAUUCCCUAAAUGGUCGCAACAGCCACAGCUGAGCCAAUCUGGAGCCAGGAGCCUCCUACAGGUCUCCCAUGUGGUUAUAGGGGCCCAAGGACUAGGGUCAUCCUCCACUGCUCUCCCAGGUACAUUAGCACAGAGCUGGAUCAGAAGUGGAGCAGCUAGGACUCGGCGCUGCAACACUACUGGUACUGUAGGCCAGGGCUUUAACCUGCUGCACCGGGCCACUUCUUUUUUUUUUUUUAAGAUUUUAUUUACUUACUUAACAGAGUUACAGACAGAGGGAGAGGCAGAGAGAGACCUCUCACUAUUCAUUCACUCCCCAAGCGGCCGCAACUGCUGGAGCUGGGCCUAUCUGAAGCCAGGAACCAGAAUCUUCUUCUGUGUCUCCCACAUCAGGGGCCCAAGUAGUUGGGCCAAUUUCCACUGCUUUCCCAGGCCAUAAGCUGGAUCAGAAGUGGAACAGUCAGGGGCUGGCGCUGUGGUGUAGCAGUAAAGAGGCCAUCUGCAGUACAGGCAUCCUAUAUGGGCACUGGUUCGAGUCCCAGCUGCUCUACUUUCAAUCCAGCUCCCUGCUAUGGCCUGGGAAAGCAGUGGAAGACAGCGCAAGUCCUUGGGCCCCUGCACCUGCGUGAGAGAAGCUCCUGGCUCCUGGCUCCAUAUGGGUGCAGCUCUGGCAGUUGCAGCCAUCUGGGGAGUGAACCAACAGAUGGAAGACCUCUCUCUCUCUGCCUCUGCCUCUCUGUAACUCUGGCUUUCAAAUAAAUAAAUCUUAAAAAAAAAAAAAAAAGAAGUGGAACAGCCAGUAUACAAACUGGUGCCCAUAAGGGGUGCUGGCACCACAGGUAGAGACAAACUACUAUGCCACAGCAUCGCCCCUUCUUGUGUUCCAGGGUACUUAUGCUAGAAAGCAUCUCUUUAGGCAGUAAUGCCAUUGGAGUCUAGCAUUGAUCAUGUGGAUCUUUACUAUGUGUCUAACCAUCCAGUAUGGAUAGUUAAGAAGAAAACAAUCCCUGUUUACUCAUUUCAGAAGUAUUUAUUCCUACUAUGCAAAACUAUUCAGACAAGAGUACAUGAAAGCCCCAGCCUGUGUCUUAUGCUGGUGGAGCUUAUAGUCUAGUGGCAGGGGCCAGACAAAAAACAAGUAAACAAAUAACACCAAGGAAAACCAUGUCAGAUAGGGAUACAUGCUGUGGGCAAAGAGGAAGGGGUUGGUGAGUGGGGGCUGGGGCACAGAGCUCUUGGGGAAAGGCCCUGAAGGGAUCUCCUGGGAAGCCUGUGUGAGUGGAAAGGGAAGAGAGGGACCCUGUGACCAAAACAGUGACUGAGGGAGGCAGGAGGGGUCAGAUCUAAGGCUUCAUUUCUCAUGGUGUUAACUAAGAGUAAAAAUUUAAUAGGGGAGCCAGCACUGGGACGUAAUGGGGUAGGCUGCAGCCUGCCAUGCGGGCAUCCCGUAUGGGCGCCAGUUGAAGACCUGGCUGCUCCACUUCUGAUUCAGUUCCCUUCUAAUGCGCCUGGAAAGCAGUAGAAGAUGGCCCAAGUGCUUGGGCCCCUGCACCAACGUGGGAACCCGGGAGAAGCUCUCGGCUCCUGGCUUCUGAUGGGCCCAGUUCCAGCCCUUGUCGCCAUUUGGGGAAUGAACCAGCAGAGGGAAGAUAUUCUCUCUCUCUCUCUCUCUCUCUUUCUUCUCCUUCUUCUCUCUGUAACUCUGCCUUUCAAAUUAAAUAAAAUAAAUCCUUAAAAAAAUGAGAAUGGGAGGAGGAGGAAGAAAAAGGGUGGUAGUAUGGGCAGGAAGGAGGUAGGGUGGGAAGAAUCACUGUGUUCCUAAAUUUGUAUAUAUGAAAUGCAUGAAUUUUGCAUUCUUUAAAUAAAAUUUUAAAAAAAGAAUCCAAAAUCCAUUUACAAAGUUAUUUGAAAAUGUGUUCCCACUGUAUAUGAGGAGCUAUGGAAAGCAGUUCUUCCAAUCAAGGUUGUUACAGUUUAGAGGUUGGAAAGCAGACAUAAUUGAUGGUGAGACAAAUGCAAAAUUAAGUGGAAAUGGCCAUAACUAAAUCAUGAGCUCUUUGAAGUAGUCAUUAUGAGUUGAGAAAGUGUUUAUGGAAAGAAAGAGGAAAUCAAAAUGAAGCUAAAAAGCUAUUGAACACCUACUAUGUGCUGAUCCUUUAUAGGUGUUUUUAUAUUUAUUUCUUAAGGUAACCAUUCAAAAGUAAGUGCCAUUUCACCAUUUUAUAGAUGAUGAAAUUGAAUUCCAAGAAAGUUAAAUAAAGACGGGUAUCAGCUCCAACCCAUUUUAAUAUGUUAGAACAGAAACAAAACCUCAAAACUAAAAUAAAAAGGCCAGGUAUUCAGCAUAGCAGUUAAGACACCUGCAACUGAAUUUGAUUCCUGGCUCUCCUGACUUUAGCUUCCUGCUAAUGCAGACCUUGGGAGGCAACGUUGAUUGGGUUCCUGCCGCCCACAUGGGAUUCUGGCUUCUGACCCUGGACCUGGCCCACCCCUAGCCAUUGCAGGUAUUUAAGGAAUGAACCAGUGGUUGAGCACACGCUUUCUCUCACCUGUCUCAAAAACUUAAAAUUUUAUAUACAUAUAUAUAUACAUAUAUAUAUAUGCUUUUGAAUAUCUCUGAUAUUUCCCCCUCUCUUUCUCUCAUUGAUAUGCUAAAAUGUCACACACACACGCACACACAUGCACACAUGCACACAUGCACACACACACACGAUCCAUGUGCUUGUUUUUAAAGAUAUGGAAAGGGGCCGGUGUCAUGACUUACUUGGUUAAUCCCCUGCCUGCAGUACCGGCAUCCCAUAUGGGUGCCAGUUCUAGUCCUGGCUGUUCCUCUUCCAGUCCAGCUCUCUGCUGUGGCCCUGGAAGGCAGUGGAGGGUGGCCCAGGUGCUUGGGCCCCUGCAACCACAUGGGAGACCGAGAGGAAGCACCUGGCUCCUGGCUUCGGAUCGGCACAGUUCUGGUUGGAGUGGCCAUUUGGGUGGUGAACCAAUGGAAGGAAGACCUUUCUCUCUGUCUCUCUUUCUACCUGUCAAAUAAUAAUAAUAAUAAUAAAAAAACAGGAAGAAAACAUUUAUGAAAUUAAAAAAAAAAAGAUAUGGGGAAGGAGCAGAAUUCUAGGGAUAUUGUGACCUAUUAGGAAUCCAGCCUUUGGAAGAAAAUCCUCUUAAAUAGAACAGGUUAUGGUAGCUAUGCUAUGCUAUGCUAUGCUAUGCUAUGCUAUGCUAUGCUAUGCUAUGGCACGGAGAGCAGACCUAGUCCUGUGGGAGGAGAGGAGAAUUCACAGAAGAAGUAGGUGCCAGGUGUGACCUUGUAGGGUUGAGCAGUGCACUCAGGUGGAAAGACCCUGAAGACAUUGAAAUGUAGACCACACCAUCACCAGUGUAGUUCCUGGAGACAAGUAGAAACUAUGAGAGGAGGCAUCACAUAGCUGUGAAACACACCUACAUUUUCCUCUUUGGUUUUAGAAGUAAAACCACCCCAUUUAAAAUGUGUUUCCAUUACAUGUAGACAUCUGCUUCAGGAAUCUUUUCCUUAGACUAUUGUUUGAGGCAUGUCCCCAGGUGCAGGUAAGGGUUGCGUGUAAGAUAACCCUUUUUCACUUGAGGGAAUAUCCCAGUAAAAGUCCUCUGGCUUCAGCUGGGCUGGCAUGUCUGACAGACGUGUAAACAGAUGCAACCAUUGUUGCUAAUGACAGGUGAUUAUAAGAGGCAUGGGGGCCAGGGUAAUUAAACCACAAUUUGACAGGAACAUUUGGCAAUGUACUAUUUCAGCAUCCGAAAUAUCUUUGCAGUGUGCUUCCCCCAUUGGCUUGGUGACUGUCAUUCAUUUUUAUUCUGCAUUGUGGUGCUUUGAGAUCCGACAGUGUUCUAUCCAGUUCCUUCAUGGUUUGUUGUAGGGCUCCAGAAAAUGGACCGAGUAUCCAAGACUCUGCCCCAGGCCUGCUGUGGUGCAGCAGCAGGAAUCGGGUCUGUGACCUAUUGCUGCGAUUGUUUUGGACAUAUUACUAAGUCCGGUUUGGUGGGCGUAAUGCCCUUUGGAGAGAAAUAUGAAUUGUGUUCAUAUCACUGUGAUUUUAGCUUCUCUGUUACCUGGAUUUACCUGAUGUUGUCCCCAUAGAUCAAAAGACAGCUUAUUUGAUUUUCCUGUCCCCUAAAUUGCUACUACUGAAAGAAGGGAAAAGAUCUCAAGUUACCAGUAAUCUGUUGUUAUGUGGGAUGAGAGUAGAAAUGGUUCAUUUCUACUAAAACGUGGAAUUUAUCCAUAUAUUCCUUAGAUUAGAAUGCAAAUUAAAAAAAUACAUUAUUUUUACUAUCAGGAUACUUAGCAACAUUUGAAGACUACCUCCUGCUAACUGCUAGUUAUGCAGUUAACUCAUGGUUAUGUCUUUGCUGGGGGUGGGGGUUCCUAUCUUGUAUUGGAUAAGUCAUGGACCAUCAUGGACUCAACCUGUGUGGUUUUGACUACUGGUGGUCUUGUGAACAUAGUAAUGUGGUCUCAUCUAGUAAAAUGGUGGCUACUACUGACUAUUUUUUAAAAAGAUUUAUUUAUUUGAAAGGCAGAGCUACUGAGAGGUGAGGGUGGGGGGAGGUGUCUUCCAUCUGCUGGUUCACUCCACAAAUGGCUGCAACUGCCGGAGCUGGGCUGAUCCGAAGCCAGGAGCCAGAAACUUCUUGGUCUCCCACGUGGGUGCAGGGGCCCAAGGACUCGGACCAUCUUCCGCUGCUUUCCCAGGCCACAGCAGAGAGCUGGAUCGGAAGUGGAGCAGCCGGGACUAGAACCGGUGCCUGUAUGGGAUUCCUGCACUGCAGGUUGCGGCUUUGCCUGCUACUCCACAGUUCUGGCCCCCACCAUGGACUAUUUAUUGUGGUCCUGGCACCGGUCUAAAAUGAGCACCUUGCCCAAGAAGAGUGCCAUAAGUUGGCCUCUCAGGAUUCUUGGUAUAGAAUGUACCUGGCUAGCUUCAGAGAUCGGUGAAGCCGAGCUUUCGGUGAAGGCCAGCUACAGCCCUGAUAGCUGUCUCUCUCUCUCAGCCUCUUGUGAUUUCUCCAGGCGGGACGUAGAAGGAAAUGAGCUUUUGGGUGCAGUUUUGCUUAACCCACAAGAGAGCCGAGCCACUGUGACUACUGCCCCUCCCACGUGGAAGACUGGCGGCCACCUCCUUACUGCAUCGGGCAGCCUGGGAAGCCCGCGGCCGGCUUUUACAUUCUGCUCCAGGCUGCCGUCAGUUUCUAAGCAGAGGCUUUUUUAAAGCUUUGUCAGUUAGGUUAAAAGGUGUUCCACCCCCGGUGUAUAAAAGAGAGAGCGAGAGAUUAAACUCACUAAGCCUGCCAUGUUCUCUGUAAAAUAUCAAGUCAAAAUGAUUUUUAAAUCCAAAGUUACUAGGCUUAGGGGGUGUGACCUUGAGUGAAAGCAGCCUCGGAACUAGGGAGGAGAGAUCUGUGCAAAAGACAAUUGGCCCAGAGGCUGGUGGCCUCGGGAAAGCUACUGAAGCCAAAGCGAAUUUGUCUUCUUUCUCUGCCUCUUGGCCAACCUAGCACUAACCCCAUGUAAAUACCCAGCCUGACUCCCAGGCCUCUGAAUUCCACACAGCAAGCCUUUUGCAGAGCGCCUGCUUACUGCAAAGCCUGGGCCAAUCUCCAGGCCGUUCCGGGGAUAAAUAAGACAGGGGCUGUGCCCUUGGGAGGCUUAACGUCAGGUGAGUACCGCUAGGAAUUAAAAGUCUCAUUCAGCCCCUGCUAGGGCGUUCAGCUGCGGUGCGUGCUUGGCCAGCUUGUUUCAUCCUAAAGAGUAAGAGUACUCGCUAGUCCCCAUUGGGUGCUUCUCUGUGCCCGGUACUUUGGAAGUGCUUUAUGUGAAUGAACGACUAUCGCCAUGGUAGGUAUUUUUGUCACGCCUGAUUUUUUUUUUUUUUUUUUUGACAGGCAGAGUGGACAGUGAGAGAGAGACAGAGAGAAAGGUCUUCCUUUGCUGUUGGUUCACCCUCCAAUGGCUGCUGCGGCUGGCGCACUGCACUGAUCCGAAGCCAGGAGCCAGGUACUUUUCCUGGUCUCCCAUGGGGUGCAGGGCCCAAGCACUUGGGCCAUCCUCUACUGCACUCCCUGGCCACAGCAGAGAGCUGGCCUGGAAGAGGGGCAACCGGGACAGAAUCCGGCGCCCCGACCGGGACUAGAACCCAGUGUGCCGGCGCCGCUAGGCAGAGGAUUAGCCCAGUGAGCCACGGCGCCGGCUUGUCACGCCUGAUCUUAAGAGGGAAACUUCCGGUGGAAAAGACCUCAAGGACCUUUUCCCAGGGGCACGAGGCUGGGAGGCAGAGGAGCUGGGGUUCCGAACCACAAAGUCCGGUUCUAGAGCCCAGGCUCUAUGCUCGUGGUACUCUGAUGUUAGCAUCCGAAUCGCCAUUUGGGCUUGUGAAACACAGACUGCAGGUGUUGGGAGUUCUGCAUUUUGACGCUCUCAGGUGAUGCAGAUGUCCAUAGCUCUGUGCCAAGUGGAGAGAGAGCCAUGGAAGCCUGUUCCUGUAUAAUACAAGGCAAAAGGGAAAUACCCCAUGACAGUUAUAAACGGAAUGCUCUGAGAAUACCAACAGCCACGCAGCAGUGAUAUCAUUGAUUAUUGUUGUUGUCAUGACAGCUAGCGUUUCCGGAGAGCUUGCUCUGUCCUAGGCGCUGUUUUGUAAUCCUGUAACCAUCGUAGCUGUCACUCUGGGCUAGCUCGUCUAACCCAUAUGACAUCCCUGUGAGUUAGGUGCUCCUGUUAUCCCAUUUGCCUGCUGAGGAAACUGGGCAGAGUUCCUAAACCUGCCUACAUGAAGCCAGCCCAAUUCCAGCAGCUAAGCUCUUAGCCACUAAGAGAACAAGGAAGAGCCAUAGGGAGUCAGAGGCGCAUCUAAUGUAGUACUUGGGGCAGCCCCUGAAGAGGAAAAGGGUGCAGGGAAGGCUUCCCAAACGGAAGGGAUGUGUGCAAAGGCCCGGGGCAUAAAAGCACAUGGUAUGAUGGGAAAUGAGUAACAGUGGAGAUUUCUGGGUAACCCACAUGGCAAGAAAUGAAGGCUGGUAAGGCUGGAAAACAAGGUUGACUAACCUUGAGAAUGAGGAGUUGAUGAUGCUCAAGACUGAACGUUGAGCUUCCGAGCACCUUGUGAGGGGCGCCCCCUCGCUCAGAACUCACCUCUGACGACCUGCAGGCAGAGUGGCAGCACUGUUCUUUGUUCAAGAUGCUGUGAGGCCUUCUCUCCUCUGCCUUGCAUGACCUGGAAGUCCCCAUAUCCGCUCAGAGGACAGUUGGGUUUCCAAGGUUAGCGAACCUGGAACAGUGAGUCAGACGCUGCUAGGGGAAAGAUGUUUUGAACACGGCCACCUCACACACAGAUGAGAAUGUGUGUGCAUGUCGGUGAGCGUGUGUGUGUGUGUGUGUGUGUGUGUGUAUAAGUCCAUCCAUGGAGUGCCCUUGGAAGAUGCCUGCUGUGGCGCUGGUGCCGCGGUAUCAUUGGAGCUGCCAGUUUGUUUUAUUUCUGAUGCCGCCCGGCAGCCCCUGAAGGAGGGGAAGCAUGAAUUCCUCUCUCCCGUUUACUAGACUUUCAUUAUAUUGUGCUUACAACCACAGUGUGAGCACAUAAAAUGUUAAACAUCAGCGGGCGGAAAGAGGCUCCCGUUGUCUUUCCUCUGUCGCCGGGGGACUCUGGCGAGCUUUGCGGGGCUGCUGCUGUCAGUGUCACAUGACAUGAAGCAUUGCUCAGUAACGACAGACAUUGAAUAUGAGUGACAGGCACUCUGACCACAAGGAAUGGGUUCAAUUACCAGAGAUGGCGGGUUACCUGGGAUCAAACCAAAGGGCCCAAUUGUGCUUGGUUUUGACCCCUUGACUCCCAGAUCCCGAGCCGCAAAGACAAAUGGCUGAUUAACCAGCCCCCUAACCCUCUUUUUUCAGUGAUAAACUUGUUUGGAUUUCCCUGUCCGGGGUAGGGAGGGGAAAAAAAAAAUCUGUGUGUGGCGCGUUUCUGAAGGUAACACGAUCAGAAAGCGGCAGGGUGGGGGUGAGCCAUUUCUGUCUCUCACAAGCACAGAACUGAAAACUGUCAUUCUAUCUUGGAAUGGAUCUAGGACAGUGUCCAGAAAUCAAUACAAGAUAAAUGAUUGCUCUCUUAACCCCACCUUUCUUCUGCUGCAGUGGUUACAUCGCUCCCGUUCACCUGGAGCCAAGCUGACGCCAGGGUAGAUGAGAGAUCCUGCCAUCACAAGCUCGCCUGUUCCCUCCCUCCUGCCGGCGGUUCUGCCGAGCACCGAGCGCAGCACUGUGCUUGUUUACAGUCCACUACUUGUAGCCCCCAGAUAAAGUCAUAGCGAGCUGCCCAAUUAAACUGUCGCAGGCCGCCCUCACUUGACUCGCUCCGCAGAGUCAUUUAGGCAACAGACAUUCCUGACUAUUAAAGCCAGUACCAGCAUGUCUCCAGUGCUGGAGAUAAAAUGAAUGAAAUUUGUUAUUCUGGACUGACACUUGAUCCCAGCUGUUGAACUCAUGCUAUUGCACCUGAAGUUUUUCUUUAUGGUAAUUGCUGUCUGUGUUAUUAUUUCAUAUACUAAAUUGGGGAAAAUUGCAACAGGUAUUAAAUUCUUUGAGCUAAUUCAUGGGAGUUUCAUUGUGCAUUCUUCCAAGGUGGAUUCCACCUUCUGUUCGAGGCUGGAAAAAUGGAUUUUGCCAGCCAGAUGCACUGGCUUGUGUUUCAUUAUUAUCAGAGACAUUCCAAUUUUAGGUCUGGUCAGGCAUUUAUCAGCUUUCCCUGAAAUCUGUUUUCAAAUAUACCUCGGCUCCUAAAUCAGUCAGCAUCUGUUGGGGACUGCCCCAAGGAAUUCAGUGAUGAUGACCGACACCGACAGUGAUUUGCGCCCGUCUGGUUGAUCCGAGACAGACUUGGUGGUAUCUCUCGCUGUGUGUAUGCUCAGGAGGACGGCCAGUAUGAAGUGGGUCGUCCCACUGGGCACCGUGGGAGUCCCCAGCUCUAACGGGGACUGCUUGAGCAGCUCGUGUGGUGGCUCUCCAGUGGGAACUCAUUGGAACAAGUCUGCAGAAGGUACGAUGCCUUCCAGCCUCCCGGUGCAUCGCAGUCACCUGACCUCACUGUCUCCUCAUCUGUAACCUCCUUCUCCAGCUCUCUGCUCAGUCAGAGGAGGUCAUUGCAGAGUCUGCAUAGUGGCAUAUGAGCCGUAUUUAGAGUGUGGUGCAAUCCCCAAAGCCUCUGUUUCGGUAGCAGAUAACACGGGAGAGCAGUUCUUCCACAGCAUAUUCACUGUGUGCUUAAAGUCAAGGGCAAAGGCUCCAGGAAGGACCCAGAGGAGAAAUCAGGUCCAGUUAGUAGGGGCAGUACCAUGUGUGCUGUCACAUUAAGGCUUUGGGGGAGACAGUAACCCCAAUCAAAAUGGUAAUUUCUAUCUGAAGACCACACCUGAAAGACCUAAGCAGGGAUUGGUCUACUUGGGGGACAUACUAUCACCAGUAGAAUCCCAGGGUUUUAUCACAUCCACACCAGGAAGCAGUUAACAGACUGUAUUCCAUAUAUCUUUUAAGAGAUGUAUUUAUUUGAAAAGGCAGAGUUACAGGCAGAGAGAGAGAGAGAGAGAGAGAGAGGUCUUCCAUCUGCCGGUUCACUCCCCAAAUGGCUGCAAUGGCUGGAGCUGGGCUGGAUCUUCUUCCGGGUCUCCCGCAUGGGUUCAGGGGCCCAAGGACUUGGGUCAUCUUCUGCUGUUUUCCCAGGCACAUUAACAGAGAGCUGGAUCAGAAGUGGAGCAGCCAGGACUCGAACCCAUGCCCACGUGGGAAAAAAUAUGGGUCGGCCCAGUGUAUUCCAUAUUUUGAUGAAAGCAAAAUGUGAGAAACUUGAGCCUGAAAGUAAGGGAAAGCAGACAUAGGACUUUGUGAUUAUAUUUGAUUUAUUGCUCUACUCUCAUCUACCAACAGACUAUUUUAUGGCUCCUCUAAAACAAGGACCUGGGAAGCCCAUUUAAAAAGUCAUGCUGUGGUGGGGGUGGCCGGUGCUGUGGCAUAGCAGGUAAAGCUGCCACCUGCAGUGCUGGCAUCCCCUACAGGAGCCAGCUCAAGUCCUGGCUGCUCCAUUCUGAUCCAGCUCCCUGCUAUGCCUGGGAAAGCAGCAGAAGAUGGCCCAAGUCCUUGGGUCCCUGUACUCAUGUGGGAGAGCUGGAAGAAGCUGCAGACUCCUGGCUUUGGAUUGGCUCAGUUCUGGCCAUUGCUGCCAUUUGAAGUAAACCAGAAGCUGGAAGACCUUUCUCUGUGUCUCUACCUCCACUUUUCUUGCAACUCUGCCUUUCAGAUAAAUAAAUCCUGUAGAAAAAAAAGUCAUCAGAAAAUCCUACUCAUGUGCUUUCUUAAUGUAAACAUCUGUGCUUUGAAUGAUAGUGUCUGGUAUUAGCUUAUGAUGGAAGAUUUCUGUUGUACUUAGAAGCUGAAGUCUGGCCAGUGCCGCAGCUCACUAGGCUAAUCCUCCACCUGCGGCACCGGCACCCCGGGUUCUAGUCCUGGUCGGGGCGCCGGAUUCUGUCCCAGUUGCCCCCCUUCCAGGCCAGCUCCCUGCUGUGCCCGGGAGUGCAGUGGAGGAUGGCCCAAGUCCUUCGGCCCUGCACCCACAUGGGAGACCAGGAGAAGCACCUGGCUCCUGGCUUCGGAUCAGCACAGUGCACCGGCCAUGGCACACUGGCCACAGUGGCCAUUGGGGGGUGAACCAACGGAAAAAGGAAGACCUUUCUGUCUGUCUCUCUCUCUCACUGUCCACUCUGCCUGUCAAAAAAAAAAAGAAACUGAAGUCUGUAGUUUGUGGGGCCUCAAACAUACCCAAGGUAUGGUGGUCUGGGUUAUUUCUGAUGUUCAUAAGCUUUGUUUAAGUAAAUUGUUUUGAAAUUCAAAUCUGCUAAAAUUGAAUUACUGUAAUUUAUAGCAAGGUUCAGCAUGAGAAAUCUGUAUUUUCUUUCCCAACUGAGAAAUUGAAAGAAGUAUUAGUCUUUCAUUGAUACAUGAGAUGUAUAGAGUUUGUAUGGAGUAUCAAGUAUAAAAUUUAUUUUUAAAUCCUAGUAGAUUUAUUUUCCCACCUUCAAAUCCAAUAGCAAGAACUGACAUUUUCAUCUAAAGUAAACUAAGAUUAGUCGUUGUUCUAUAUUCUGAAAUUACCCAAUGUACAACAGUUUUAGGUAUUUUAAAAUGAUGUAUCCACAGGCAAACAGUGAUUUGCUCCCAGAGGCCCUUCAGAUGUGCAUUCAUUCUUGUCUUUGAUAUUUGAGGGUCCUAAUGCUAUCAUAAUAACACAUGUAAAAGUUGCCAUACAGUAACUGCAAGUUUGCAUUUCUUGCCCAAAACUAAUUCUUCAUAUUUCUCUCAGUGUUUGUCCAGCAAAAGUGGUAGCUCUACUCUCUAAAUCUUACCUGAACUUAAUGUUUAUAUUUUUUGUUGCUCUUGGGUGCUAGACAAUUUGAGCUGUUUUGUGUGGAUUGCGUGGAAAGCAUGGUGGAGAACUCAGCACAUAAAGCCUUUGUAAGAGCUUGUUUGGAAGCUAUCUAUGUUAACAGUCUACUUAAAAUAAGAGUCAGACUUUGGAAGAUUCCUGACGUAGGGGCAGCAGAGAAAAUGACCGAGUUUUGGACUCUCAAAAGGCAAAAUCACAAGAAAACCACACCCCUUCUCUGUGGUACUCGUAAACCAAACAGCUAUCUCCGAGGGGACUUCAAGAAGUUCGUUGAAUAAAAAUAUGUUGACUUUGACACACAGGAAAAUGAAAGCCAGGCAUACAAAGCAUCUCCAGAAAGGUCGUGAAAAAUGGUAUUAUGAGAAAAACUAUGCACGGAUCUCAAAAAAAAAUUUUUUUUACACCAAAAUGAACUCAUCUUUGAAUUCCAUUUCCAUUUCCCACGAACUUUUUGAAGUACCUUUGAACAGACAGGUCACUAAAGUAAAAAGAUUCGUUAAGACGGCAGCUAUUUGGAUGAGGUGAGAAUAAUGCAUAAACAGGAAGUGAUUCCUGAAUGUUUAUCUUGCAAACCCUGAAACAAUCCCUUUCUUUUCUCUUACACUCACAUUUAGGGAGCAUCAGACCCUGCACUAAGUGUCGUGGAGUCACUGUAACUUUUUCAUGCCUUUCACACAUUCACUGAGGUAGGAUAUUCUCACUCUACCAGUGAAGGAAGUAGGACUCGCAAGGCUGAAGUCAUGACUCUCACUGGCCAUUUAUUAAGACAUUUUGCAAGGUAGAAAUUGAACCUGGGUCUGAUGCUUCUAAAAUCAUAUUCCCAGUUUAGGUUGGUCAGAACUUGUAUGUUUCUCUGUGAAAUUAAUUGCUCUUAUCUGGGAAAGUAAUAGAACUUUCAGCAAAGAAGUUCAAGCAAGCUGCUGAAAUCCUUCAUAUCGUUUUCCCUGAAAAAUGUUCAUGUAGUCCUAGGCUUUUAGUCACUACCAUGAAAAAUAAACCCUGCCAGGAUAUUAAUACACACACAUACACAUAUUUCUUAAAAUUUAAACUUGAAACCAGUGUUCGAAGUGUGGAUGAUGCAGAAUUGGUUGAACAGACGUGGUCCUUACCAUGUGGAUCCUAGUAGGUCCUUGCCCAUGCUAGGGAUCAGCAAACAUUUUCCUUUUAAAAGUCCAGAUGGUAGGGGCCAGUGCCGUGGCUCACUUGGCUAAUCCUCUGCCUACAGCGCCGGCAUCCUUUAUGGGUGCUGGGUUCUAGUCCCAGCUGCUCCUCUUCCAGCCCAGCUCUCUGCUGUGGCCCGGGAAGGCAGUGGAGGAUGGCCCAAGUGCUUGGGUGCCUGCCCCCGCGUGGGAGACCAGGAAGAAGCACCUGGCUCCUGGUUUCAGAUCAGCAUAGCUCUGGCCGUAGCAGCCAUUUGGGGGGUGAACCAAUGGAAGGAAGACCUUUCUCUAUGUCUUUCUCACUAUCUGUCAAAUAAUAUAUAUAUAUAUAUAAAAGUCCAGAUGGUAAAUAUUUUAAGCUUUGUAGGCCAUACGGCCUCUGUCACAGCUGUUCUCUGUUGUAGUGCAAAAGCAGCUAUGGACAACAUGCAAAUGAGUUUCAAUAAAACUUUAUUUACUAGAACAGGUGGCAAGAUUUGGUUCUCAGGCUGUGGUUUACCAGCCCCUGGCCUCAGCCGUGUGGAAGGAUUAUGUUUAAGGGACCUGAACACAGCAAAUAUUUUAUCCUUUCAUUUAUUAGUAGUUUAUGUAGAUUAUGUAUUUUGGGGGCUGAGAAAGAGAGAUGUUCUUUUUGUGCAACUUGAAGCUCUGUUCACUGGCUUGUGUUUAAAAUUUUUGAAAAAAUAAAUCUCUUGUUUAAGCACAUGUUAAAUAUGUCCGUGUUCUUUCCAUUAAAUAUUUUGGUUGCCUUCCCAGACUUUGAAUUGCAGUGAAUUUAUCCCCUAAAGAUGUUUGGUAUCAAUUCUCAAGACGCAAUUUGAAUGUAGUCUGUUUCUAUAAUGGAAACAAGAUCCCAAAUCUUCAUUAUUUAAGUCCCUUAGAAAAUAGCAAAUUGCUGAAUUGGUUAUUCGUCAGCACUGUUGAGGUAUACUGAAUCCUUUGUUCUCUUGUUUUACAGCUUUGUGUCAGUUCAAAGGAUAAAAUGGUAUGAAGAUUUCAUUUUAGGGCUACCUGUGAGGUAUUAGAUUAUGGUUUUCUGACUGAAUCAUGAUAAACUCCUGAUGUGGUCAGCUAAACAGGUUCCUGGUCACACAGGAAGCAACUUUCACAACAUGGAGGACCGCAGGGACAGGCCGGAGGUCCAGGGGGCUCAUGGAUCCUAACCUAUGGGAUGGAAGAGGGAGAAAGGGUUCAUCCUUCCUCUGGUGAACAGAAUGAAGUCCCCCCACCCACCCACUAGAAUUUUCCAUCAGGAAAAACAACCAAGAACAGCAGCUUGUGAGUCCCAGAAUCAUUUACCCUAACAGUUGUAGUAGUUUCCUUGUUACUCCAUUCGUAUGGUCGUGAGUCGUUUUUAUAAAACAGCUCAUUGUGUUAUCAUCACGUGAUUGCGAUUAGGGGCCUCGACACCUUUGGCAGAAGGAAUUUCGUUGAAGUACUCAUGGUGGUUAUUAUUCAGCUGGGUGGUAUGUUUGGGUAGUUCGCAUUUCUCUCUCAAACCCCUCAUAAAGGUGGAAACGGUAUCCUCACCUCACUCACCCAAAGGCAUUGUGUUGAAGGAGGCAGAUGUAGGCAGAAGUUGCAUUCUUAAAAUGUCAGCUUCCUCGCUCCCUGCCUGAGUGUCUGCUGGCUCCCAGGCUUCCUACCACUAAAGGUACUUGUGUUCUCUUGAUUUACCCAACAUUGGGCCUAGAAAACGCUUUAGUUAUCCUAAUUCAUCUUGCCUGUGCUUUUUAGUGCUACACAGCCUUCGGCAGUGGCAAAAGCAUGAGUUUUGCAGUUGAGAUCCCGUUCGUUAUCUUAGAUGAACCCUUUAGCUUCCUCGACCUUCAGUCUCUUCUUGUGUGACAUCGGAAGCGUAAUUUGGAAACUUAAUGAGGAUGUAUGUUUAAGAGCUUUGCAGAUUGUGCUCAUCGUAGUUUUUUUGUUUUUUUUUUUUUUUUUUAAUUAUUUAACUACCUGGCCCUGCCUUGUGUAGGAGAAUCCUCUACCAUAUUAACAGAGUUAAAUCCACAGUGCAUCCUUCAUCUCAAAGCAGUCUCUGUGGAGUUGCUCUUGUGAGAAGCGGCUUAAUUAUGACAGAAUGCCAAAGGGCGCUGUUUCCUUUGUGUUGAAUAAAUGGCACCCCAGAAACACAACAGCAAAUAGUAAAAUCAGCGAUGACAAGUCCACGCAGCCGCCUCUCUAACUUCUGAUUUGGGGCUCUUCGAGACUACCGUGUGCUCUCUCAGCCUAUACCAUUUUAAUACACAGGGCAGAUCUUUAUUAGCACUCUCAGAAUCUUUGUGUUGAUCUUGGCUUCAGCUGCUCUGCAGAACAACCUCCUUCCAGGACUCCCUAAAGUAAAUUUUAUAUUUGCCAAUUAGCGUGUAUUUAGAGUCGGACCAAGCCAAGAAGAGUCUCUGAACUUUGGUUCCCAUCUUUGCGGUCGUCUACACGUGAUGUGAUAACAGUCACCAAAAGAAACCUAAUUUUCUGUAUGUCGGUUAUGAGGGCUGUGCCUAUAAGCUCCGUUCCCUUCUGCCAUGUCAGAUGAGCUAAACUCUUACCCAGCAGCCGGCCAGGAGAACAUACGAUACCAUUUGCAAGGGUAGAAUGUGGCAUGCUGUUCUUCUGUAAUUAUAAUGGCCUGAUCCAUGUGGGGUGGGUGAGUCUUGCUUAACAAUCAUUAAUCUACCGAGUCCUCAUAUCAGCGUCCCAUCUUGAGGAGCAGCGGCAGUCCUUGGCUGGCUGGGGAAGGCUUUGAUUCUCAUUGUAAUAAGGAUAGCUUUGUUAAAAUUCGGCUGCUCCAUGGUGCCUAAGGAUUCUGGGAAGACAAGGUUUUUCUUCUCUUUCCUGUUUCUGUUUCUGCGCAGUGGGAAUGAAUUGUUUCUCUCUCCUCCAUCCCCUAGGUCACUAUGUGUGCUCUCCCUCGAUCUCCUGCUUGUCCCUUUAUUUCUGCACGUUGUGAAAGUUUCUUUCUGUGUGACCAGGAAUCUGUUUAGCAGACCAUAUUGUGAGUGAAGGGCCGGCGUUUGUUGCCCGAUUUUGGCAACGCUGGGCAGUCAGCUGGGAUGUAAUUAAGACUCUGAGAACAGGCUGUCUUCUCCACGGGAAAGGCAUGUUAGAUGGUGCUGGGAUUUGGGGCUGUCAGUUUGGCCAAGGCUGGAGACAGAGAGCGAGGGACAGAGAUAUUUCCUUUCAUUUAUAAUCCCUUUAUGUACAGUGUAUGCACUUGGCGAAGUUUACAUAUAACCUAGUGGCUAGAGUUUACAAGCCAACGCAGUGGAAUUAGCAUAUGUUACAUGUAUAUUUUAGUAAUAUUUUAAAGCAAGUGCAUAUUUCCAAAGUGAAUUAUGCAUGGAUGACAGCAAUAGGGUUGUGUUGCACUGGGUGUCAAAUCCCACAACUUUUUGUCGAGACUGUGGAUUUUACACUAAAAAGGCAGAAAGACUAAACGAAGUAAAACAGUUUUAAUUUUUAACAGUUUGGUUCGGCCCAAGGAGCCAGGCUGUGACAGAUAUAACUGACAUUUGAAUAAUUGGAUUAAUUUAGAGAAGGGCAAAUCCGGUUUUGACGGUUGUGCUUGUGUGUAUGUGUUUUUUUUUUUUCCUUUCUUUCUUAUUUGCAGGAAUGGAGUUGUGUGGUUUAAAUAUGCACUUUAUGUGAUGCCAAGCAGAGCUUGAGGAAAUGCCACAACAUUUAUGAAAUUGUCAUUUAAUUCGUUUGUUUUGAUAUGUAUGUGUGUACACAUGUGUGUUUAUGUGUAUUAUGCAUUCCUCGUAUGUUGCAUAAAGGAAAUUCACUGCAUUUACUGUAUUCAGCUGUGUUGGUGACAUAUGGGUCUGCACAUUGUAUACACAAGCAUAUUAUGUAUGCACCUUGGGACUUAGCAAGUCAACAUGGAGGACGAGGUACACAAUCUCAUAGGCCAUAUAGAAAAAGUGCAGACAAGGGAACUCACCAUGACUUUGGCAUUCCCCACCUCUCUCCCUAUCAGUGCAUUGAAAAACAUCACAAGACAGCAGAAGAAUAGCCUGACUUGGCAUCUGGGGUGUCAGUAGCCGAAUCCCACAUGGUCAAUGCCUCAGCCCUAAGUUCCUUCAGAUUUAUAUGACUUCUUGAGCUCCCUGCAUGAAGAUCAUCUCAGCGACAUGCGACCAAGUGGGACGCCACAGGGCCCCUCCAGAAAGUCUGCUCAGCAAGUCAGAAGGACAUGGGGCAGGCAGUCCCCAGCUGUGGCUCCGGGCUGGCUCUAAGAGCCUUUUCCCCAGUAGGACAUUAAUAGACAUUAACACUCGGGCAAGAAGUGUUGAUGUGUGGUUUAUAAUGUUAACACCCAGUUAGGCAGGUGUAACACAUGCUGUAGGAAUCUUGUACCAAGACGUGUGUGCAGAGUCAGAUUAAUGAGACCAUAAAAGGAGAGACAUUCCACCCGAGCCGGACACCUCUUCCUGGCUCCCUCUCACCACGCAGGCCCGGUGCUCAGCUGAGUGGAAAGGGGUCCCAGUUGGAUGUUUUCUGUCUCAGCCAACGGGGGAUGUUUGAAAGUUUGGUUGUGCUCUGCGGUUAUGUGAUCUUGACGCGCAGAGUUAGGUCUUCACGUUCGGACGCCUUUUCAUCUAGCGCCAUUCAGGCUGGGGGAGGGAGGAAACUUUCACAGCGCUCACAGCAAGACCACCAGGCCAACUGAUUAUUUUUCUCUCUCAGUUUUACCUGGCGCUUCUUCAAGUGUUCCUGAAUGGUUCUGAGACACUUUCUGGUUUACUUUGUAAAUGGGGCAAUGAAGCCUUCUUGUCUCCUGACUGGCUCUCCUUAGAGGAUUCUCAAAGCCUUUUAAAAUUGUGUGUUUUUCUGGGACAGCCUUGAAAGUCCCAGGAGUGAAGUUGCCAUCUGUCCUUUAUAUUAAAAGCAUCUUCUGUAUUGUAUACCUGAUGUGCUUGUCCCAGAGAUAGAUGUUGUUAAUUAAAGGACAGCAUUUGUCCUUUAUCUGAAAUAAAUCUCCUCUCUUGCCUGAGAAAUAGUUUCCCGAGCUUUAGGAAGUAGGGGAGGAGAUUCUGCCCAGAGUGCUGGUCUUUACCAAAAGCCUUGUUCCGGUUAUCUGACCCUCACCCCUCCCUAGAUCAGCUACAUAGACUGGAAAAUUCUUUGCUCCCCCCACCCCAUCUAUGAAUUUGUCUACCAAGAGUAUGACCUUUUGUCAGUGCAUAUUUAACUGAAUAGAACAUAUACUGUUAAUGGCAAUUUAUGAUUUAAAAAAAAAAAAAACACAAAGAUUCACAAACAGCAAGCCCCAGGCCUUCUCAGCACACUGCAUUUUUAUGCAGGAGAGGUGGCAGCGCUUUUUUCGUCCUGUGCUACCUCUCCACUUUGCUGCUGCACAAUCUCUCUUCCUAUUCCCUCCGCCCCUGGGAAAAGAAAUAAGCAAGCAACUGCCCACAGCAAACAGAACCGGAGUUCUGCCAGACCACAGCUAGCAUAUGUUCUAGGAAGAAAGAGUCUCCCUGAACCUGCCCCAUCUCUGUCUUGGGAAACUCAGAAAAUUAUCUGGAUCUGUGAUAUGGAGAAGCAGCUAGGAUCAUGUGGCUAUGAACCUACCAUCUAGAAGUGUGUUUGCCUCUGUAGUGUGUUGGAUUAAGUGCGGAGAAGGGAGCUAGCCAGGUCCUUGCCAGGAACCGGCUUCAAGGAAAGAGCAAGAAGAUUGCACUAACCCGGACUGCGGACUGAGGAACAAGUCCAGGAGGGAGGAGAUGGCAUGUGUCCCACUGUCUUGCGUUAGUAGGAAAGACCCCAGAAUUGACUAUAGCGUGGACAGGAGAGUGGUGGAUUGAUUGGACCAUAAUUUUCUGAUGCCCUAACAGUCUAAACUGAAGUUCAAGUUUAAUAAGCAAAGAUUUGCAUUUAAAAGAGAAUUCUAAUUAGGUACCAUUCUUUAUUGUCUUUUUCAUUGUUGUUAACCAUACAGACUAAGAAUUUAGGCAGGUGGCAUAAAGAGGGACACAGGCCUUGAAAGGAUACCAGAAGUGGUGACACUGAGAGCUUACACUGUUGGCAAGGGACAGUGGCUUCCUCACUCCCAGCUAUUGUUAGCUUGUGGGCCUGUGGGCCCAAGACUGCAGAUCCUCAGGUGCUUCAGCGGGAGCUGUGGCUAUGAAACCUCGUAAGCUUUCAGUGCUGGCAGAGAAUCCACUGUUUUAAAACAGCACAGGCCCAGAUGGAGCUCUUCUGUUGUGGACGGUUAGUUUAUAAGCACUCAUGUUUGUUCACAGCAACCUGGCCCAAGUGGGGAUGAUCUAAAUAGUCAACUGACGAUGGGUAAACUUUUGAGAAGAAAAUAGGAGACCCAGCUCCAUACAAGUGUUAAUGUUUUUCCAUGUGUCUCUGUUUACUGCAUGUGCCUCUCGUGUGCGUGUUUUGCAAUAGUUGUAAUCACAGACGCCUGCUUUUUCACUUGCUGUUACAGAUCCGUUCCUUCUAUAACUUAGGAUGGCUGCAGGAUAUUCUGUCAAGGGACUUGAUCACAAUAGGCAAAUUCAUUUCAUUGUUCUUGGGCGUUAAAGCUGCUUUUGAUGUGACACCGUCAUACCUAAUGCUGUAGUUACAUUUGUCCUCCGUUUGGAUUACUCCCUUAGAUUCUGAAAGGAGGAUUACCGAGUUAGACCAUGUGAAUGUGUUGAUGGCUUUCAGUACACAUUGCCGAACUGCUUUCCAAACGUGUUGUCUAGUUGACCCUGGACUCAGUAAAGUAUGAGUAUACGGAUUUCCAAUGUAGCCUCGCCAGCCUUAUUAUAUAUUUUAGAGAUUCCACAGCCCCCCAGCCUCAGUUGGUAAAUGAAAACUGGACUUCAUUGGUGUUUGCAUUUGCAGUUUUCUGAGAUUUUCCCAUAAAUCUGUUGACCACUUAUAUUUACUUCAAUCACAUCUGUAUUUUCUAGAGCUGAAUUUUGUGGAGCUUUUACUGGUGGUGGGGAUUGGGGGCACGGUGGGGGGGGAUGUAUGUAUGUUUCAGUUUUCUCUGUUAACCACUGGUUAGUAAUUUGGGAAGAGACUCCUUGGCAAGGCUUUCCUCCCGGAACACCUCCUAUCUCAGCAUUGCUGCAGCUGCUACUUUCAACUGUGCAUUAACUUGGAGUUGGGCCAGGGCCCAGGCAGAAGCCCCUUCCUGAAGACGGCCUCUUAGGUGUCUGGUGAACCACAAGCACAGGGCUGUGUCUGCCAACAUACUUUCGGCAGAGCCAUCUAAUAAAAUCCCAUCCACAUGGGUCUAUGAAAUGCAGUCACAAAUUCGGAUGAUGAUCACCGGAUGCCAUUUCUUUGGUAACAGCUAAUCUCCAUGUCUUAGAUGGUUUUUGUCCACUGCCUCCUCAGUCUUUCCUUCACUGCUCUAUUUGGUGCAUAUUCUCGCUACAAAUGAUACAUAAUCUGACUGUCUUGUACCGUGGAAGGGCAUUGAGCCAGUGAUAUGGAAAAUGGUUCUAGUCCUGGUCAGGGUGCCAGAUUCUGUCCCAGCUGCUCCUCUUUCGGUCUGGCUCUCUGCUGUGGCCCAGGAAGGCAGUGGAGGAUGGCCCAAAUGCUUGGGCCCUGCACCGGCAUGGGAGACCAAGAGGAAGCAUCUGGCUCCUGGCUUUGGAUCAGCGCAGCGCACCGGCUGUAGUAGCCAUUUGGGGAGUGAACCAAUGGAAGGAAGACCUUUCUCUCUGUCUCUCUCUCUCACUGUCUAACUCUGUCUGUCAAAAAAAAAAAGAGAAAAAGGAAAAAAAGAAAAA